ACUCUAUACAUAAUUUACAUUCUUAACACUGUUUAAAAACUGGUUAAUCUAUAGUUUCAGAUGAGGAAACAGGCUUAGAGAUUAAUGAUCUACAGUGAAUGGUAUAUAGUUUUAAACCUAUAUCUGUUUGGCUUGAAGGCUUUGCCUUUAGAUGCUAAACAGCAGCUUAAAUGAACUUGAGCAUACUAUCAAUUCCUUAUGUUGCACAACUGGAGCUUUGUGCAGAUAAAUGGAAAAACCAGAUCAUUGUUCUUGGUAUCAGCUGCCAAUACAACUUAUGCUCAGAAGAGGCCUCUUUUGGUUCUGUCUCUAAGGAGCUGCCGCUCAAGUAACUUCCGCUUGCAUGAAGACACAACUCUUGUGACAAUAUCUGCCAUGGAACAAGACCUCAAAAGAGGUCACCUGCAGCCUGGAUCAUGAUGGGACGUUUUGUGUUUUAUAGCACCGUGCCAUGGAUAAUCUAACUAUCUGGGUUCAACUCUGAAUUCCGUGUGAAACUGAAAACAACACUUCUUCUCAUAAAGCUUCAGGUUUCCUCCUGCAAGACGGGGAUAAUAAUGGGGGGCGGGGAAGGGUUUCUGUGUGCCAGGCUCAUGUGUAGAUUGGAUGAUGGAAUGUAUCCCGAACAUGUAGCACUGGCCUUAGCUCCCCAAUUACUGUAUUAAAUCAGAGAAUUGUAGGCUGAUUGCUCACUUUCUCCUUGUCCUGGAAACAAUGCUUUGCAGACGGUAGGUGCUCAAAGGAGUGUGAGCAAGUGAGUUAUGAAAGACAGAAUCAAGAGUAUAAUGAAGCUAGAGAGCUAGGCAGGGGGGAUCAUAUAGGGCGGGCCUGUGGGUUAUGAUUGAUAUACCUGUGUUUUAUUUUUCGUAGGGCAGAACGUUCUAUGACCGUACAGAAGAAUUACACAGUCUGCUUAUGCUUUUUAAAAAGCACCCUGGUUUCUGAGCUGAGAAAGCGCUAGAGCUGAACAGCUGUUAAAUCAUGUAGACAUAGAGCUGUUGCAGUGACUUUGGUGGGCAAGAGCAUGGUGCUAGGGGCAGUGUGGAUGGACAGGGAGGGAUGCAUCUAUGGUAUGUUUUUGAGGAAAGAACAGUAGGACGUGGCUGAUGUGGGUUUUAGAGCAGACACUGAGACUGACUUCCCAAAAUAU
rnacentral:lncRNA from 1 species